CUCGUAGUUGGAUUUCUGGCAGGAGGGACCGGUCACGCACUCUGUGUGUGAACUUGGCUCCCUCUGGCCAUCCUUGGGGAGAUCGUGUUUGGCAUUAAGUUGUCGGGCAUGGGAUACCCAUCGUUUACUGUGAAAAAAUUAGAGUGUUUAAAGCAGGCUUAUGCCGUUGAAUAUAUUAGCAUGGAAUAAUAAGAUAGGACUUUGGAACUAUUUUGUUGGUUUGCGUUACAAAGUAAUGAUUAAUAGGGACAGUUGGGGGUAUUCGUAUUUCGUUGUCAGAGGUGAAAUUCUUGGAUUUCCGAAAGACGAACUACUGCGAAAGCAUUUACCAAGGAUGUUUUCAUUAAUCAAGAACGAAAGUUAGGGGAUCGAAGAUGAUUAGAUACCAUCGUAGUCUUAACCAUAAACUAUGCCGACUCAGGAUUGGCGGUUGUUUUUUGACUCCGUCAGCACUGUAUGAGAAAUCAAAGUCUUUGGGUUCCGGGGGGAGUAUGG
rnacentral:rRNA from 1 species